rnacentral:rRNA from 1 species
AUGCGCUACCUGGGGCUUCCGUUAUCCGUCAAGCGCCUCAAGCGAAUCCACUUCCAGUACCUUGAAGAUAAAAUUGCGGGCAAGCUCCCUCCCUGGCAGGGAAGACAUGUGGCCUCUGCUGGCCGUGUGGUUCUUGUUAAGGCCAUCCUAACUGCCAUUGCUAUCUACCAUCUCACGCCGCUCGACAUCCCGGUGGAGGUCCGCAAGAAAAUCGAUAGUAUUCGCCGUGCAUAUCUUUGGGCGGGCUCAGACAAGGUGUCUGGAGGAAAAUGCAAGGUAAAUUGG